ACGUGCAGGCUGCGCGCGCUGCUUCUCCGCCACCCGGCCGCUCCUGACACGCCGCGCCUGCGCGAGGCUCGCCGACGCUUUUCUCGUGGACGCUCGGCCGGCUCCGCGGGCUUGGAGACCCCUCGGGGACGCGAGGCCCGGGGCCAAAGACUUUGGGCCAAAACCUUCCCGUAGAUGGGAGCAGCUUACACGCGGCGAGAAGAGUACAAAGACGGCAAGGAUUAAAAGCAGACCUGGGGAGCAUGACACCGAGUGAAGUACUGGUCACAAAGCACCCAUUCAUCAUUUUCUGCAAAACUCAUCUUUUGGAGCCUCAUCAGUACAGAACCUGGAUCUUUGGAGGGAAGGAACCAGGUUCCCGGACGGUGCCAGGGGGGCAGGAGCAGAAACCAGAUGGGCCGUGUAAGGUGUGAACGCGGCACUUCUGGCCACGCCGAGGAAGAGCCUGCGGGCCAUGGGAGUGCUGCUUUGAAGGAUUUAGCACUCGGGGAGCCCUCACACAAGAUGAGGUGCACGUGAAAGGCUGCCCCGCAGGUGUGGCCUGGGCUGUCAGUGUGUUUGGAAGUGACUCAGGACACAAGGCCUCUUACAACACACUAAUGGGAAAGGAGAUGCUUCUGAGCCAGAUCAGAAUACAGCUGACCUCCUUCUGAGAGAAGAGUGGAAGAUUUCAAGUCAAUUAUCUUCUUUUCUGUAAAGUCUGUUUGUGCCUGGGAUGUAAGACAAAACGAUUUGUCCCUUUCAAAAUAGAGCAAUUUGUGUCUUUCUGAACAUCCAAUGUUCUGGUGACGAUUGUGUGGCUUAAUGCUUCAAGAUGCUGUUUGUUCUACGUCUCAGUUCUAAAGACUGACCAUUGUAAAUCUCGGCAUUAACUCUGGUUCCUCUUUACCUGAGAAUUUGAGGGAAAUGGAUUCCAGAAGACAGACUUUCAACAAUAACUAAUUCAUAUAUCCUUCCCUUCUCAGAUUAAGGAAGUCGUUCACCGUGGAAGUCUCUGUCCGACUGAUUACUGCACUUCACCAAACCUAAGCUAUUACAGUAGAGAUAUCCCAAUUUCAAAGACAUUAAAAUGUAAGAAAGGUCAUGCUAGAAUCGAUGAGCUACAACCAUGACAAUGUCAACAUUUAUUGAGAGCUUAUCGCAUGCUGUGAUGCCAAGUACCUUGCAGGUCUCCUCUGAUUUCCCCCCUAGCACAGCCCUGUAAGUUAGAUCUUAUUACCCUCCCAGUUGCACACAUGU